rnacentral:rRNA from 1 species
CCUACGGGGUGCAGCAGUAGGGAAUCUUUCACAAUGGGCGAAAGCCUGAUGGAGCAACGCCGCGUGCAGGAUGAAGGCCUUCGGGUUGUAAACUGCUUUUAUAAGCGAGAAAUAUGAUGGUAACUUAUGAAUAAGGAUCGGCUAACUACGUGCCAGCAGCCGCGGUCAUACGUAGGAUCCGAGCAUUAUCCGGAGUGACUGGGUGUAAAGAGUUGCGUAGGUGGCAUAAUAAGUAGCUAGUGAAAUCUGGUGGCUCAACCAUUCAGACUAUUAGCUAAACUGUUAAGCUCGAGACCGUUAGGGGUAACUGGAAGUUCUAGUGUAGGAGUGAAAUCCGUAGAUAUUAGAAGGAACACCAAUAGCGUAGGCAGGUUGCUGGGACGGUUCUGACACUAAGGCACGAAAGCGUAGGGAGCAAACGGGAUUAGAUACCCCAGUAGUC